rnacentral:rRNA from 1 species
UUAACAGAUGGGCUGCGGAAGAUACUAUAGAGCUAGGAGGCGGGAGAGGCAAGCGGUACUCGAUGGGUAGGGGUAAAAUCCGUUGAUCCAUUGAAGACCACCAGUGGCGAAGGCGGCUUGCCAGAACGCGCUCGACGGUGAGGGAUGAAAGCUGGGGGAGCAAACCGGAUUUAGAUACCCGGGUAGUCCCAGCUGUAAACGAUGCAGCUCUCUCGUCAUCAUUUGUUGGCUUAUUGCUAUCUCCAGUGCCGCAGGGAAGCUGUUAAGUUGGGCGUCUGGUACGGUCGCAAGACAUGAAACUUAACUGGGCCAUCUCAAAGAGCACACAAGGGGUGAAGCCGUGCGGUUCAAUUGGAGUCAACAGCCGGA